ensembl:snRNA U6 U6 spliceosomal RNA
AUGCUCACUUCGGCAGCACAUAUAAUAAAAUUAGAAUGAUACAGAGAAGAUUAGCAUGGUCCCUGCUCAAGCAUGACACGUGAAUUCAUGAAGCAUUCCAUAUUUUA